rnacentral:tRNA from 1 species
GUAAAGUUAGUUUAGUAAAAAUACUGGAUUGUGGAUUCAGAGAAGAAUGUUUAAUUUACUUUAUU